ensembl:lncRNA
UAUAAAUCCAUUUUAUUUGUAAUUACCCUGGACAUGAAAUACAAAAAAAUAUAUUUAAAAUGUUAAAUAUAGUAUUAACAAUAAGGCUAGGUCUAGUUUAAAAACAUUGAAUAGGCUUUUGAAAACAUAGAAAGCAGAUUUGAACCAUUUAUGGUCAUACAUUCUCUUCAUUGAUAAGGUUCAACUCUCUCUGUCAUUUGUCAGUCAGACAGUCUGCUGUUCCAGGAAAGUCCCUGACAGCAGUUCAUUGGUUGACCUAAAACCUUGGUUAGGGGCACAUAAUGAUCCAGGGAGAAUCCAUUUCUAUAUGUCAUCCGUCAAACUUUAUUAAUCAAGGCUUCAUAGUUUAUUUACAUCAAUAAAUUAAAAAACAAUUUGUCACGCCUUAAACUAGUCACAGAUAAAGUACAAUCAAAUAAAAAACCUCAGCUUUUGAACUAUAAAAUAUUUAGAAUGACAAGCAUAACUCUUAUGAAACAAAGCACUUAUGAAACAAUCUUGUUCUGAACAAACAUUUUCAAUUUCCUAAAUGAUACAUUGACAUUGAAAUAAUGAUGUUCUUCUGUUGAUGGUCCUUUGUAUGCGUUUAGUGUGGUCCUCAGGGAAGGCAAUAGACUGUAUAGUUAUCACCUGAGCAGGGCUGAUCCCUCCCACCAAACUAUACAACCUACUACCUCACCCUGACAGAACACAUAGGAACCUGAACACGACCCCAUCUAGACCCAGUCACAGUCGGUCUGUUUCCGGACGAAGACAUGGAGGAUAAAUAAAAGAGAUGAUUUGAUAUGGCGGCUGUAAUGCUGACUCAGAGAUGGCUGCUGCGGAUUGGCUGACCUGGCUGUCUCCUUAGGAAAGACAGUAGAUUGUAUAGUUAUCUCAGAUUGGGGUGCACAACCCCACAACUAUUCAAUCUACUACCUCAGCCCCAAGGACAGCAUUCUUGUGUUGCAACAUCCAGGAUCCUCACAGAUGAGAUUCCUGUAAUGAUACAGAGAAAAAGAGACAAAAAACAGUUUUAUCGAUCUGAUUUGCUUUUGCUAUGCAAUAAUGUCAUUUAUAAUUAUGAAUGUAUUUAACGAGGGUCCACAUCAGUGGUCACUGGUGAAGUUAAGACAAAG